rnacentral:other from 1 species
AUUUUCCUGGGAAGUGCGUGAUCAUGACUGUUAUUUUUGAGCCAAUAACGUUGUCUAGGGAGCCAAAUCCGAUUUCUGUGUGCAGGCCCGCCACAUUGGUGGGAAGCCUGAUGGAUCGGGGAGGUGCCCACCUCUGCAUAAGAGGUUCAAAUUGACACAUGACACGGCUUCCCGGGUAAUCU